ACGGGCGAGUAACGCGUGGGAAUCUACCCAUCUCUACGGAAUAACGCAUGGAAACGUGUGCUAAUACCGUAUACGUCCUUCGGGAGAAAGAUUUAUCGGAGAUGGAUGAGCCCGCGUUGGAUUAGCUAGUUGGUGGGGUAAAGGCCUACCAAGGCGACGAUCCAUAGCUGGUCUGAGAGGAUGAUCAGCCACACUGGGACUGAGACACGGCCCAGACACCUACGGGAGGCAGCAGUGGGGAAUAUUGGACAAUGGGCGCAAGCCUGAUCCAGCCAUGCCGCGUGAGUGAUGAAGGCCCUAGGGUUGUAAAGCUCUUUCACCGGUGAAGAUAAUGACGGUAACCGGAGAAGAAGCCCCGGCUAACUUCGUGCCAGCAGCCGCGGUAAUACGAAGGGGGCUAGCGUUGUUCGGAUUUACUGGGCGUAAAGCGCACGUAGGCGGACUAUUAAGUCAGGGGUGAAAUCCCGGGGCUCAACCCCGGAACUGCCUUUGAUACUGGUAGUCUUGAGUUCGAGAGAGGUGAGUGGAAUUCCGAGUGUAGAGGUGAAAUUCGUAGA
rnacentral:rRNA from 1 species